UAUUACAAUGAAGAGUUUGAUCCUGGCUCAGGAUGAACGCUAGCUACAGGCUUAACACAUGCAAGUCG
rnacentral:rRNA from 1 species